GUGACCCCAGGAUGGGCGAGGCCACCCGCCGAGU
rnacentral:rRNA from 1 species